UACGGAGGGUGCAAGCGUUAUCCGGAUUUACUGGGUUUAAAGGGUGCGUAGGUGGGUAGGUAAGUCAGUGGUGAAAUCUUCGAGCUUAACUCGGAAACUGCCAUUGAUACUAUUAUCUUGAAUACUCUGGAGGUAAGCGGAAUAUGUCAUGUAGCGGUGAAAUGCUUAGAUAUGACAUAGAACACCAAUUGCGAAGGCAGCUUACUACAUAGUUAUUGACACUGAGGCACGAAAGCGUGGGAUCAAACAGG
rnacentral:rRNA from 1 species